AGUUCCCUGCCUGGUUCGCCAAGGUCAUAUAUUCCUUGAACCAAGGCUACAUUGGCACGGUUGCGGAACCUUGCAGCACGGGCGCGCGCGUCGCUAGUCCGAUGUACCCGAAGUGUUGCUUCCCGCGAUCAAUCUUGAAUUCAGGUUCAGGAUGCCGGCUAUAGCGGCUAUGGCGGGGACCCA
rnacentral:other from 1 species